GGCGGCGUGCCUAUACAUGCAAGUCGAGCGGACAGAUGGGAGCUUGCUCCCUGAUGUUAGCGGCGGACGGGUGAGUAACACGUGGGUAACCUGCCUGUAAGACUGGGAUAACUCCGGGAAACCGGGGCUAAUACCGGAUGGUUGUUUGAACCGCAUGGUUCAAACAUAAAAGGUGGCUUCGGCUACCACUUACAGAUGGACCCGCGGCGCAUUAGCUAGUUGGUGAGGUAACGGCUCACCAAGGCAACGAUGCGUAGCCGACCUGAGAGGGUGAUCGGCCACACUGGGACUGAGACACGGCCCAGACUCCUACGGGAGGCAGCAGUAGGGAAUCUUCCGCAAUGGACGAAAGUCUGACGAAACAACGCCGCGUGAGUGAUGAAGGUUUUCGAAUCCAAAAGCUCUGUUGUUAGGAAAAAACAGAUACCGUUCAAAUAGGGGCGGUACCUUGACCGGAACCUAACCAAAAAUCCUCGGUAACUACGGGCCAGCACCCGCGGUAAUACGUAUGUGCCAAGCGUUGUCCGGAAUUAUUGGGGCGUAAAGGGUUCGGGGGCCCCUUCUUAAAGUCUGAUGAGAAACCCCCCGGGCUCAACCCGCCCACGGGCCUUGGAAACUUGGGGGAAU
rnacentral:rRNA from 1 species